CCUACGGGAGGCAGCAGUGGGGAAUAUUGGACAAUGGGCGCAAGCCUGAUCCAGCCAUACCGCGUGUGUGAAGAAGGCCUUUUGGUUGUAAAGCACUUUAAGCGAGGAGGAGGCUCUUGAGGAUAAUACCCUUGAUGAGUGGACGUUACUCGCAGAAUAAGCACCGGCUAACUCUGUGCCAGCAGCCGCGGUAAUACAGAGGGUGCGAGCGUUAAUCGGAAUUACUGGGCGUAAAGCGCGCGUAGGCGGCUUGUUAAGUCGGAUGUGAAAUCCCCGGGCUCAACCUGGGCACUGCAUUCGAUACUGGCAAGCUAGAGUAUGGGAGAGGAAGGUAGAAUUCCAGGUGUAGCGGUGAAAUGCGUAGAGAUCUGGAGGAAUACCGAUGGCGAAGGCAGCCUUCUGGCCUAAUACUGACGCUGAGGUGCGAAAGCAUGGGGAGCAAACAGGAUUAGAUACCCUGGUAGUCCAUGCCGUAAACGAUGUCAACUAGCCGUUGGGGACCUUGAGUCUUUAGUGGCGCAGCUAACGCGAUAAGUUGACCGCCUGGGGAGUACGGUGCAAGCUUAAAACNGAAAGAUUGACGGNNGAGAGNGCGAGCGACAGAGGGAGAG
rnacentral:rRNA from 1 species